GCUCCUCCCGGCUGCCUGAGUUGCGCAAUCCGUAGCCGGGGAAGCGCUACGUGGAGACCGCGCUAAGUGGAAGCCGAGCUCUGGAGCUGGGGAACAGGAGGGCGGACCUUGAAUAGAUGCUGGACAUUCCUCAUCAGAAACCUGAGGAGGAUACUAAAAAGACAGCCACAAUUUUCCUUCUGCUUGCUGCCAAAGUUCUUGAGGCCAGCUGUUGGGGGCAUGGUUCUGGCGGAAGAUACCCCACUUACAUCACUGGGCAGAGCACUUGGCAUCUUGCUCUGCAGCAUCAGCAUUGAGAUUUAUGGUGACCUCACUGCUAUCGCCAAGGACAGUGGGUGGGUACUUGCUUCGUGUUUAUAUAACUACAGGGCCAAUCCUGGAAAACUUCCAAAGACAAAAGGACUCUGUUCCAAAGACUCUGAGAGCUUUCUCAACUUCCCCAAACUAAAAGUUGCCAGUAACCUCCCAGUGGCAGUUCCAGAAAAAGAAAGAAAGAAAGAAAGAAAGAAAGAG